rnacentral:rRNA from 1 species
AGGCGUCGACGGGUAGCCGGCCUGAGAGGGUGACCGGCCACACUGGGACUGAGACACGGCCCAGACUCSWAMGGGAGGCAGCAGUGGGGAAUAUUGCACAAUGGGCGGAAGCCUGAUGCAGCAACGCCGCGUGAGGGAUGACGGCCUUCGGGUUGUAAACCUCUUUUAGCAGGGAAGAAGCGAGAGUGACGGUACCUGCAGAAAAAGCGCCGGCUAACUACGUGCCAGCAGCCGCGGUAAUACGUAGGGCGCAAGCGUUAUCCGGAAUUAUUGGGCGUAAAGAGCUCGUAGGCGGUUUGUCGCGUCUGCUGUGAAAUCCCGAGGCUCAACCUCGGGCCUGCAGUGGGUACGGGCAGACUAGAGUGCGGUAGGGGAGAUUGGAAUUCCUGGUGUAGCGGUGGAAUGCGCAGAUAUCAGGAGGAACACCGAUGGCGAAGGCAGAUCUCUGGGCCGUAACUGACGCUGAGGAGCGAAAGGGUGGGGAGCAAACAGGCUUAGAUACCCUGGUAGUCCACCCCGUAAACGUUGGGAACUAGUUGUGGGGACCAUUCCACGGUUUCCGUGACGCAGCUAACGCAUUAAGUUCCCCGCCUGGGGAGUACGG